UACGUAGGGUGCGAGCGUUACUCGGAAUUACUGGGCGUAAAGCGUGCGCAGGCGGUUUUGUACGCCAGAUGUGAAAGCCCCGGGCUUAACCUGGGAAUGGCAUUUGGGACUGCAAGGCUUGAGUGCGGCAGAGGAGACUGGAAUUCCUGGUGUAGCAGUGAAAUGCGUAGAUAUCAGGAGGAAUACCGAUGGCGAAGGCAGGUCUCUGGGCUGACACUGACGCUCAUGCACGAAAGCGUGGGGAGCAAACAGG
rnacentral:rRNA from 1 species